UACAGAGGUGGCAAGCGUUGUUCGGAAUUACUGGGCGUAAAGGGCGCGUAGGCGGCCUUCUAAGUCAGACGUGAAAUCCCCAGGCUUAACUUGGGAACUGCGUCUGAUACUGGAGGGCUUGAAUGCGGGAGAGGGAUGUGGAAUUCCAGGUGUAGCGGUGAAAUGCGUAGAUAUCUGGAGGAACACCGGUGGCGAAGGCGGCAUCCUGGACCGACAUUGACGCUGAGGCGCGAAAGCCAGGGGAGCAAACGGG
rnacentral:rRNA from 1 species